AUGGCCGCCCGUGUCCCCUCAGACCGCCAUCGCUCCUCGGCUCCGCUGCAGGUCCUGCUCUUCCUCAACGGCUGGUACUGCGCCACAUAUUUUCUCCUGGAAGCGUUCGUGUUCGUGUACAAAGUGCUGCUCCUGCCCUAUCCCGUCUCCAACUUGGUGUUGGACGUGGUGCUGCUCCUCCUCUACCUCGGCAUUGAGGCCACACGCAUCUUCUUCGGCUCCAAGGGGAACCUGUGCCAGCGGAAGGUGCCGCUGUCCCUCAGCCUGGCACUUACAGUGCCGGCAGCCGCGCUGGCCGUGUACUACCUGCUGCUCCAGACAUAUUCCCUGCGCCUGGAAGCGUUCCUGAGUGCCAUCCUGCUCCUCUUCUACGGCCUGGAGCUGCUCCUGGGUGUCCUGGCGCUCCUCUCCUUCUCCAGCACGGAUCCCUACUGAGGACACGGCCCAGGGACACAGGGGAGCAUCACCCGUGCCAGCUCCAAUUCCCAGCCCCGGGAAGGGGGAGGAUCCCUCCUUUCCCACUGCCCAUUUCACCUGGUGCCACCUGGACACAUCCCUCCCACCUUUGUCACUUCUAUGUGGACAUAUCCCUCCUAUUUUUCCUGCUUCCCACUUCACCAGGGACCUGCUGCCACAUAUUCAUCCCUCCCUUUUCCCACUGCCCCCUGGACAUAUCCCUCUCACCUUUCCCAUUCUCCAAUCCACUUGGACUCCUCAGAGCUUGAGCCAGCUCAAGGAAGGCAACAGGAGCGCUGUGUAAAAGACUGACAACGUCAUCUGAGUUUAUUACACAAUUCCAACCUAUCCAAAGACAAAUCUAAUCACUGCGAGCAGGAGGGGCGGCGCCUCGCCGGGGCUUCCAGGGAUUUG